AGAACGAACGCUGGCGGCAGGCUUAACACAUGCAAGUCGAACGGUUGUAGCAAUACAGCAGUGGCAGACGGGUGAGUAACACGUGGGAACCUUCCUAGGGGUACGGAACAACUCAGGGAAACUUGGAGCUAAUACCGUAUACGUCCGUGAGGAGAAAGAUUUAUCGCCCCUAGACGGGCCCGCGUAGGAUUAGGUAGUUGGUGAGGUAACGGCUCACCAAGCCUACGAUCCUUAGCUGAUCUGAGAGGAUGAUCAGCCACACUGGGACUGAGACACGGCCCAGACUCCUACGGAGGCAGCAGUGGGGAAUCGUUGGACAAGUGGGCGCAAGCCUGAUCCAGCCAAUGCCGCGUGAGUGAAGAAGGUCCUUACGGGUUGUAAAGCUUACCUUUAACCGUAAGGGACG
rnacentral:rRNA from 1 species